GAGAUGCUGAUUCAGUGGUUGUUACUAUAAAAGAUGAAAACGGCAAUGUUGUGCGUGAGGUCGAUUUAGGUUCAAUUCCUGCUGGGGUCA
rnacentral:tRNA from 1 species